ensembl:snoRNA
AAUCAGUGACGAAAAAUAGCCAAAUAUGAGCAUUAAGAGACCUUCUGGUCUAUGUGGUGCAUGAUCUGCAUGUGUAUCUGAGA